GAUGAACGCUAGCGGGAGGCUUAAUACAUGCAAGUCGCGGGGUAACGAUGAAGCUUGCUUCAGGCGACGACCGGCGCACGGGUGAGUAACGCGUACACGACCUACCUUAUACAGAGGGAUAGCCCUGGGAAACUGGGAGUAAUACCUCAUAGUAUUGAUUAAUUACGAUUUUUCAAUUAAAGUUCCGGCGGUAUAAGAUGGGUGUGCGUUAGAUUAGCUAGUUGGUGAGGUAACGGCUCACCAAGGCGACGAUCUAUAGGGGGCGUGAGAGCGUGGACCCCCACACGGGUACUGAGACACGGACCCGACUCCUACGGGAGGCAGCAGUAAGGAAUAUUGGACAAUGGGGGCAACCCUGAUCCAGCCAUCCCGCGUGCAGGAAGACGGCCCUAUGGGUUGUAAAACUGCUUUUAUCAGGGAAGAAAAUUAGUCAUUUAUGAUUAACUGACGGUACCUGAGGAAUAAGCACCGG
rnacentral:rRNA from 1 species